AGGUCUAUAACACAUCAUAAAGCAAAAUCAAUCACAAAUGCUUUUAUAGAAGGCAAUCCCUUUCUAAACUGUACACUUUCAACUAUGCAUAAAGCAUGCCCAACAAAAUCAGCAUCCAAAUACCUUUCUCCACUUUGUCGUUCCUAGUUAAAUAUAAUAGCACCGCAGGUGAUGAUGGCAAAGUGAUAUUACCUAUAUUUCUUAACUCAAUUGAGAUGUAUAUUUCAAAUCUGACCCUAUAAAAAAUCCCAAAGGUAUUGAGACCAAUUGAAUGUCCACCAAAGUACUAAACCUGUGCUGAUUGAUUUCUCUAGAUUUUGCAAGACCCCGUAAGAUGUAUAUUUGAGACCUUUUCUGUUCCUUCAAUACAACCUGGGCAUCCUUGCAAACCUUCGAUGCUCCACCUCCCCCAGAGAACUCAUAACGGUUUAAAUUAAGUAUAGACAAUGAGAUGAGAUUCUUUUUUCAAAUUUGGAACAUCUCGAACCUAGACAAGUGUUCUAAUUGUCCAUCCCUUGGCUUCAAUUUGACCUUACCAAAAAGCAACCCGACAAGGUGCUUUGUGUUCCAUGCUUCCAUAAUUAUGACACAUUUGGAAACUGUUUCAUAUGUAGUAAAUCAGUCCUUAUUAGGAUACAUAUGAAAUGCACAUGCUAAAUCUAGAAUCCAAUUCUCUUCAGAUUUAAAUUAGAUGUCAGAUAUAGCCAAAAGAUCUCCAUCACUCAUACAGUUCUCUGCCUGAUCUACUUCGUUUAAAAUAUCUGAUUACUUACCAUUCUGAUUUGCAAUCAACCUUUCUUAAUGUGCCCCCUCUUCUUGAUGAUAAAGUUACACAUUUGAUUAUUGAAAUUAGACUUUGAUCUACCCCUUUUGUAACAACCAUGAAUAACAAGGCAUUUUCCAUUACUGGCCUUGGA
rnacentral:lncRNA from 1 species